UGGGGAAUAUUGCACAAUGGGCGAAAGCCUGAUGCAGCAACGCCGCGUGAGUGAUGAAGGCCUUCGGGUCGUAAAGCUCUGUCUUUUGGGACGAUAAUGACGGUACCAAAGGAGGAAGCCACGGCUAACUACGUGCCAGCAGCCGCGGUAAUACGUAGGUGGCAAGCGUUGUCCGGAAUUACUGGGCGUAAAGAAUGCGUAGGUGGAUAUGCAAGUCAGAUGUGAAAUACCCGGGCUCAACUUGGGUGCUGCAUUUGAAACUAUAUAUCUAGAGUGCAGGAGAGGAAAGCGGAAUUCCUAGUGUAGCGGUGAAAUGCGUAGAGAUUAGGAAGAACACCAGUGGCGAAGGCGGCUUUCUGGACUGUAACUGACACUGAGGCAUGAAAGCGUGGGGAGCAAACA
rnacentral:rRNA from 1 species